rnacentral:lncRNA from 13 species
AAUCAAGAAUAUGGCGGACUGUCAUAACAAUAUCACAUGAUAUCACAAUAACACCAAAUAUCUUGGAAUCUUUCAAGAUACGUAUCAUCUAUUGCGAUGAAAAUGCUGCUACAUACUGCAAGAGUCAAUUUGUAAAUAAUUUCAUACAAAAAAAUGUGAAAAAUAUAA